CCCCGUUUGACAGACAGCCGCAUCUUCUGGUGCAGUGUCAGCCGCGUCCCUGAGACACGAUGGUGAAGGUCGGAGAGAUAGGAAGAGGGUC